AAUGCGCGAAAGCGUGACGCAGCAACACCGCGUGAGGGAAGACGGCCUUCGGGUUGUAAACCUCUUUCAGGAGGGACGAAGGGCGACCGGUGAACAGCCGUGUCGCUUGACGGUACCUCCAGAAGAAGCACCGGCUAACUACGUGCCAGCAGCCGCGGUAAUACGUAGGGUGCAAGCGUUGUCCGGAAUCAUUGGGCGUAAAGCGCGCGUAGGCGGCCCGAUAAGUCCGCUGUAAAAGUCAACGGCUCAACUGUUGAAAGCCGGUGGAUACUGUCGGGCUAGAGUACGGAAGAGGCAAGUGGAAUUCCUGGUGUAGCGGUGGAAUGCGCAGAUAUCAGGAGGAACACCUAUAGCGAAGGCAGCUUGCUGGGACGUUACUGACGCUGAGGCGCGAAAGCGUGGGGAGCGAA
rnacentral:rRNA from 1 species